UAGGGAAUCUUCCGCAAUGGACGAAAGUCUGACGGAGCAACGCCGCGUGAGUGAAGAAGGAUUUCGGUUCGUAAAACUCUGUUGUUAGGGAAGAAAAAAUGUAUAGUAACUAUAUACAAAAGAGACGGUACCUAACCAGAAAGCCACGGCUAACUACGUGCCAGCAGCCGCGGUAAUACGUAGGUGGCAAGCGUUGUCCGGAAUUAUUGGGCGUAAAGCGCGCGCAGGUGGUUUAGAAAGUCUGAUGUGAAAGCCCACGGCUCAACCGUGGAGGGUCAUUGGAAACUAAUAAACUUGAGUGCAGGAGAGAAAAGUGGAAUUCCUAGUGUAGCGGUGAAAUGCGUAGAGAGUAGGAGGAACACCGGUGGCGAAAGCGGCUUUUUGGCCUGCAACUGACACUGAGGCGCGAAAGCGUGGGGAGCAAACAGG
rnacentral:rRNA from 1 species